CUGGUGGCCGUCUGUUCCGCUUGGCGUUUCGUCUGGAUCUGAGAGGAUAAGGCCUCAAGGAGGGAGAUGGGGAGGUUCAUGGAACCAUGGAAGUUUUCAGAUGAGAUUAGUUGAAAGAAAAGGGAAAUUUCCCAUGCUGCCAUGCGAGAGUCAGAGGUGGGUGAGUUCCCUGAUCCCCGGCUGUAGCAACAUUGGCCACCACUCUAUGCGCAUCUGUGCCGCGAAAAUCAGAUUUCAUGCGUAUCAAGCAGAUUGUGAAGAAAAUGUACCUGAAGAUGGUUCCUCAAUAUGAGAAUCCGAUUAACAUUGUCUUCAAGAAUUAAGGCAAAUUGUUUGUAUGUCAUUAAUCCUCUCCUGUGAAGAUUCAGAAUCAUAAAAGAUAGUAUUCAGGUACAGAUGGACAGGCUUCAUGUUCAGGAAUUUGACACACACGGUGGAGAUUUAAUGGACUAACUACCUUUUUUUAGGUACCAUCAUGGUUAGUUACCGACACGUGUAGUUAUUGGCUGCAUUCUAUUAGACAUACAGAGAGCCACACUGACAAAUUUCUAUUUAGAGGAAGAAGUGGGCACAAGUAGACUGGAAAAAACACAAAACAGCGGGAGAUGUCAUGUUCAGCAGCGACAACACCAUUGCUCUUCAUGUUUUGAGUUAAACCUGUAUUACUUCAGAAUGAUUAGUCAAAGAUCGGUGAUUGUUAGAGGCCUGAAGUUAAUGUGAGAGGAAGGAGCAUGAGUGGUCUUUUCAAUACAGUAUUUUUUCCUUACUGGCAUAGGUUGUCAAGGAUUGUUCUAUCCGUCUCAGAGAAAUGUGUUCAAAGUGAAUUCUUCUCAGGACUGAGACUUAUUUUACAGUAAUAACUUACAUAAGCCCUUCGGUUGAUCGGUUCAAUGGCUGCAAUCUAGAAGCUUUAUGAGA